GAAAACAGCACUUCCUGUACCCAGCAAUCACAGAGCUGCUCUUGGAAUUUAACGCCCUGGUGGUUCUCAAAUGCCAUCUGAAAAACAUUAUUAUUGUUACCCAUCAUGACUUCUGGGUAGUGGAAGGUGAAUGGGAGAAAUCUCUCCCCAUUUGAAGAAAUGGGGAACCAGUCUCACUUUGUUGCCCAGGCUGGAGUGCAGUGGCACAAUCUUGCUCACUGCAACCACCACCUCCCGGGUUCAAGCGAUCCUCCCACCUCAACCUCCCAAGUAGCUGGGUCUACAGGCGUGCGCCACCACACCCGGCUAAUUUUUGUGUUUUUAGUAGAGACAGAGUUUCACCAUGUUGGCCAGGCUGGUCUCAAACUCCUAACCUCAAGUGAUUGGCCCACCUGGGCCUCCCAAAGUGCUGGGAUUACAGGUGUGAUUGGGGAAGGGCAAAGAUGAUUUCUGCAAAUGUUGCCCUUUUUUAUUAAAAAUAGCUUCUGUGGUCUUUCUUAUAAAAGCAAUACAUGUUUAUUGAAAAAGAAAUCAGGCUGGGCCUGGUGGCUCACACCUGUAAUCCCAGCACUUUGGUAGGCCGAGGCAGGCAGAUCAUCUGAGGUCAGGAGUUGGAGACCAGCCCGGUCAACAUGGUGAAACCCCAUCUCUACUAAAAAUACAAAAAUUAGCCAAGUGUCCU
rnacentral:lncRNA from 1 species